UAAGGAAUAUUGCGCAAUGGGGGAAACCCUGACGCAGCAACGCCGCGUGGAGGAUGACACUUUUCGGAGCGUAAACUCCUUUUAUCAGGAAAGAAUAAUGACGGUACCUGAUGAAUAAGCACCGGCUAACUCCGUGCCAGCAGCCGCGGUAAUACGGGGGGUGCAAGCGUUACUCGGAAUCACUGGGCAUAAAGGACGCGUAGGCGGAUUAUCAAGUCUUUUGUGAAAUCUAGUGGCUUAACCACUAAACUGCUUAGGAAACUGAUAGUCUAGAGUAGGGGAGAGGUAGAUGGAAUUCUUGGUGUAGGGGUAAAAUCCGUAGAGAUCAAGAAGAAUACCCAUUGCGAGAGCGAUCUGCUGGAACCUAACUGACGCUGAGGCGUGAAAGCGUGGGUAGCAAACAGG
rnacentral:rRNA from 1 species